rnacentral:rRNA from 1 species
UACAGAGGUCUCAAGCGUUGUUCGGAUUCAUUGGGCGUAAAGGGCGCGUAGGCGGGUGCUCAAGUCCGGGGUGAAAUCCCACAGCUCAACUGUGGAACUGCCUCGGAUACUGGGUGUCUCGAGGGUGGUAGGGGUAUGCGGAACUAUCGGUGGAGCGGUGAAAUGCGUUGAUAUCGAUAGGAACUCCAGUGGCGAAGGCGACUACCUGGCCUGUUCUUGACGCUGAGGCGCGAAAGCUGGGGGAGCAAACGGG